GUGUGUGGAAAGUAUUUUGCAAACCUUAAAGUGCUAUAUAAAUGCCUGUUGUUAUUAUUUUAUCUCCUUUUUAAAAUGAGGGAGAAGUAAGUUUAUAGUUCAGAGAAAUAGGAGAGAAUACUUCUGACAAACAACAGAUAAACAAACAGGUCAUGAAAUCUUCCAAAGGAGGGUAUGAUAUAUGUUAAGCCUCCAAUUUGUUAGAAAGGAUAAGGUUCAAAUUAAGAUGGGGCAAAGAAAAUAAUCUGAUAGGUUAAUUUUAGUUCAUAAUGAAGAUGUCAGGAUACUAAAAUCAGCACUUAAGCAUGACUGUGUUGCUGUUCAGGAUAUACAUCAGAACUGCAGAAUGGCAAAUGAAGAUAAAGAUGAAACAUUAAUACCAUGUGAAAGAAGGGAAUGCUAUCAUAUCCAAACACUACAGCUAUUAAAUGAAGUAAAUGCUGCUAGAUUUUUUUUUAAAAGGAAGAACUGGAUCUCUUGCAAAAAAGAAAUGUCGUGGUAUUUACCCAUCUGGAUGCUGCUUGAAAACAAAUUGUCCUCCAAAGAGCAGAAAUACAGGUCCUGUCAUUAACAGAAGAUGACAACUAAGUCAUUUUUCUUUCUGCUGACAAUUGUGACAUUUUUCCAGCAGCGUGCAAGGUGUUGAAAACCUGGCAGCUGUUACCUCCUGGGAUGAAGCUACUUUUUUAUCCUCCCUUGACAGUUUAACUCAGUGGGUCAGCACCUUUAAAGACUGCAAAGUAUCCUUGAAGAGGAUGGAGGCUUGAAUUACUGCUCCCUCCCUAAUCAAUGUAAACCCUCACUGCAGGUGAACUCUCCUUCUAUAGAGGUGCAUGGGGGAGGAAAAUGUAAUGCCCUGAGCCAGAUGGUUUUUAUCUUGUUUUUAAAGAAUAAAGGAACUAGCUAACAAGGGGGACAGCUACUUUGUUAGCAUCUUGGCCUCUCUCAUGGCUUUGCAUCCCCAGGGUUCCAGCCACACAAGAGAAAGAAUACAGAAAAACGUAAAUACUUAAAGAAAUAUAACUAGAGGGCUGGCAUCAUGCUGCUUUCAAAGAGUUUCGAGAACUCUGUUGAAUGCUUUAUUUAUCACUGCCCACGUUCUCAAGAUGGUAAGUGGACACAUAUACAAAGGGCAGGGGGGUGGAGGAAGGAUUCGACAGCGGUCACAAUUUACUCAAUUACAGAGAAAGGCUGGGCUGACAG